rnacentral:rRNA from 1 species
AUGAAAAGUCGGGAUGGUGGAGCAAAGAUGCAAACGCCUGAGGGAGUAUUAUUCAGAAGAGAGCAGGGGAGCCCACUGAAGACUUCGGCACACUUAUCUCCGCUUCCUUCUAUUUCCACCAACGGCAGUAACCCCUGUUCUCCCCACAGCAACCUUGGCGAAAGAGCUCCACACGGGAGGCGCCGGCGAAUUGGAUCUGAUCGAUUUUGGGUGUCGCUCAGCACCAUGGCCGAAUCACUGCUUCUCCCUUUGGUGCGCGGCGUGGCCGGCAAGGCCACAGACGCGCUCGUCCAGACCGUGACCCGGAUGUGUGGUCUCAACGACGACUGCGAAACGCUGGAGCGCCAUCUGCUAGCCGUUGAGUGCAAGUUGGCCAACGCCGAGGAAUGGAGCCAGAGCAAUGCCUAUCUCAGGAGCUGGAUGGAGAAGCUCAAGGCUGUUGCCUACGAGGCCGACGACGUCCUCGAUGACUUUCAGUAUGAGGGGCUGCGCCGUGAAGCCCGGAUCGGCAAGUCCACUUCCCGAAAGGUACUUGGCUACGUCACACGCCGCAGCCCGCUGCUCUUCCGUUUUGCCAUGAGCAGGAACCUCAAGGGAGUCCUCGAGAAGAUCAAGGGGCUGGUCGAGGAGAUGAACAUGUUUGGCCUUGAGGAUUCUGUCAAUCGGGAGGAGCGGCAGCAUACUUGGCGGCAGACACACUCCAAAUUGGACGAGACCAACAAGAUGUUUGGAAGAGAUGAUGACAAGGAGGGAGUGGUGAAGUUGCUGCUAGACCAGCAAGAUCAGCAGAAGGUGCAGGUGCUGCCCAUCUUUGGUAUGGGAGGUAUUGGCAAGACGACACUUGCUAAGAUGGUGUACAAUGACCGAGAGGUCCAACAUCAUUUCAAGUUGAAGAUCUGGCACUGCGUGUCAGAUAAUUUUGAUGUUAUUGCUAUUCUGAAAUCCAUCAUUGAAUUGGCUAUAGAUGAUUUGCCAGAAAACGAAAAGACAUUGGCUAGAAAGGGAGGUUGGUGCAUGUCUGGCAACAUUGAAUUAUUGCAGAAGAAACUUGAUGAAGUCAUUGGGGGGAAAAGAUUUUUACUUGUUCUCGAUGAUGUAUGGAAUGAAGAAAAAGGGAUGUGGGAUGAUGAAUUGAAGCCACUAUUGUGUUCUGUUGGUGGACCAGGAAGCGUUAUCGUGGUCACAUGUCGAAGCAAGCAAGUGGCCUCUAUAAUGUGCACUGUUAAGCCCCAUGAGCUAGCAUUUCUAAGUGAAGAAGAUUCAUGGGAAUUGCUUUCGAACAAAGCAUUUAGCAGUGGUGUAGAGGAGCAAGCAGAGUUUGUCAUCAUUGGAAGACGUAUUGUCAAUAAAUGCGGGGGGUUGCCUCUUGCUCUGAAGACAAUGGGUGGACUGCUGAGUUCAAAGCAACAAGUUGAGGAAUGGAAGGCCAUCGAAGAAAGUAACAUUGGGGAUAAUGUUGGAGGCAAACAUAAAGUCAUGCCCAUACUGAAGUUAAGCUACAAACACUUGUCAUCUGAAAUGAAGCAAUGCUUUGCAUUCUGUGCACUUUUCCCCAAGGAUUAUGAGAUGGAGAAGGAUAUGUUGAUCCAACUAUGGAUGGCAAAUGGCUUUAUUCAAGAAGAGGGAACAAUGGAUUUAACACAGAAAGGAGAAUUCAUUUUUCAUGAAUUGCUUUGGAGGUCCUUCCUGCAAGAAAUGAAAGUCAAAUAUGGUAUCUAUUAUAGCGGCACAGAACAUGAGACAAUAGUUUGUAAAAUGCAUGACUUGAUGCAUGACUUGGCCAGAGAAAUCACCAAUGAAUGUUCCACCAUAGAAGAAUUGAUUGAACAGAAAGCAAUGGUGAGAAAUGUCCGUCACCUGCAAUUGUCAAAGGUUAAAUUGGAAAAGAAAUGUGAGUUGUUCGAUGACAAAGUAUCUCUCCGCACUUUGUUAGCUACUUCAAGGAUACAUCAGGAUUUGAAACGGCUACCACAUGUAUCAUUACGAGCAUUACAGUGGAAGAGUGUUUGCACCAGUUUCAAGGCCGAAAAUGCAAAACAUUUACGGUAUCUUGACCUCUCCACUUGUAGUGUCGAUGCUAAAUUGCUACAUUCAGUAUGUCUAUUGUAUAACCUGCAAACAUUGAGGCUCAAUGAUUGCCUUGAGUUACAAGAGUUACCAGGAGACAUGAUGAUAAGCCUGGGAAAGCUCAUACAUCUUUAUCUUUUUGGAUGUGAUAAUUUGGAGGGGAUGCCUCGAAAAAUUGGUCAGCUGAACAACCUUCACACACUAACAACAUUCAUUGUGGAUACUAGAGAUGGUUGUGGUAUUGAGGAGCUCAAAGACUUGCGACACCUUAGCAAUAGGCUGGAACUGUACAACUUGAGAAAAAUAAAGUGUGCAAAGCAUGCAAAAGAAGCCAAUCUCCAUCAGAAGCAAAAUUUGAGUGAGUUGUUGUUCUCUUGGUGCCUUAGAAGAUUUGACAAUCUCGAAAAUGAAGCAUGCAACGAGGAGGAAGUGCUCCAGUCUCUAGAACCUCAUAGCAAGAUGCAAAUUUUGGAGUUAUAUGGAUAUGGUGGUCUGGAAAUACCACGAUGGAUGAGAGAUCCUCAGAUGUUUCAGUGCUUAAGAAAACUCAAGAUUUAUAACUUUAGAAGGUGUCAGAAUAUACCUGUAGUAUGGCUGUCACCCUCACUGGAGUACUUACGCUUGGUCGGAAUGGGUAAACUGAAGGCAUUAUGUGAUAACCUUUGCAUGGAAGGUAGAGGACACAAUACCUCUGUACAUAUUUUCCCAAACUUGAAGAAGAUGGCCUUGGUAGAGCUACAUAGUCUAGAGGCAUGGGCAGUAACCAGAGCGGGAGUGUCUAUUGAUAGCUUAGUAACAUUCCCAGUGCUUGAAGAGCUGAAAAUCGACGACUGCCCUAAGCUUGCAAGUAUUCCACUGAGCCCCGUUCUCAAAGACCUGACUAUUAGUGGGAAGGUUUCAUGGUCUGAGAAGGAGACCCUUCCGCUUCAGUGUUUACCUGAAAUUUUGCCUACAUCCCUUGAAAGUUUGCGCAUUGUGGGCUUCCGACAUUUGGUGGCGCCGUCUUGUAACCUUGGAGAUCUAGCAAAGCUGAGGCAUCUAUGGGUGCAUAACUGCAUUGGCCUGAAAGCGUUGCCUGAUGGGAUGGAUGGCCUCACUUCUCUUCGGGAAUUGAGGAUCAGAGCUUGUCCAGCGAUGGAGGAAUUCCCGAGUGGUCUCCUUCAGCGGUUGCCAGCCCUUGAAGUCCUAAGCAUAUCGGUCUGCCCCGAGUUGCAAAGACGAUGCAGAGAAGGUGGGGAGUAUUUCCACCACUUGGUCGCUAUCCCGUAUAAAUACAUUCCAGAGGAACCAGAAGCAGAACCAGAAUCAGCACCAAAAGCAGAAUCCAGCGAAAAGAGGUUUCCAAGAAGGCUCCUCCCCUGCUGUGUUCACUCGAAGUCUGACUCUGAAUCUGAUAAUAACUGA